rnacentral:rRNA from 1 species
CCUACGGGUGGCAGCAGUAGGGAAUAUUGCUCAAUGGGGGAAACCCUGAAGCAGCAACGCCGCGUGGAGGAUGAAGGUUUUCGGAUUGUAAACUCCUUUUGUUAGAGAAGAUAAUGACGGUUUCUAAUGAAUAAGCACCCGCUAACCCGGUGCCAGCAGCCGCGGUAAUACGGUGGGUGCAAGCGUUACUCGGAAUCACUGGGCGUAAAGAGCGCGUAGGCGGGAAAGCAAGUUAGAUGUGAAAUCCUAUGGCUUAACCAUAGAACUGCAUUUAAAACUAUUAUUCUAGAGUAUGGGAGAGGAAGGUGGAAUUCUUAGUGUAGGGGUAAAAUCCGUAGAGAUCAAGAGGAAUACUCGUUGCGAAGGCGACCUGCUAGAAAGUAACUGACGCUGAUGCACGAAAGCGUGGGGAGCAAACAGGAUUAGAUACCCUAGUAGUC